UACGUAGGGUGCGAGCGUUAAUCGGAAUUACUGGGCGUAAAGCGUGCGCAGGCGGUUUGUUAAGACAGGUGUGAAAUCCCCGGGCUUAACCUGGGAAUGGCGCUUGUUACUGGCAGGCUAGAGUGUGUCAGAGGGAGGUAGAAUUCCACGUGUAGCAGUGAAAUGCGUAGAGAUGUGGAGGAAUACCGAUGGCGAAGGCAGCCCCCUGGGAUAACACUGACGCUCAUGCACGAAAGCGUGGGGAGCAAACAGG
rnacentral:rRNA from 1 species